CCUACGGGUGGCAGCAGUGGGGAAUAUUGCACAAUGGGGGAAACCCUGAUGCAGCGACGCCGCGUGAGUGAAGAAGUAUUUCGGUACGUAAAGCUCUAUCAGCAGGGAAGAAAAUGACGGUACCUGACUAAGAAGCCCCGGCUAACUACGUGCCAGCAGCCGCGGUAAUACGUAGGGGGCAAGCGUUAUCCGGAUUUACUGGGUGUAAAGGGAGCGUAGACGGCAGCGCAAGUCUGGAGUGAAAUCCCAUGGCUUAACCAUGGAACUGCUUUGGAAACUGUGCAGCUAGAGUGCAGGAGAGGUAAGCGGAAUUCCUAGUGUAGCGGUGAAAUGCGUAGAUAUACGGAGGAACACCAGUGGCGAAGGCGGAUUGCUGGACAGUAACUGACGCUGAGGCGCGAAAGCGUGGGGAGCAAACAGGAUUAGAUACCCCUGUAGUC
rnacentral:rRNA from 1 species